UACGGGGGGGUAAGCGUUGUUCGGAAUUACUGGGCGUAAAGGGCUCGUAGGCGGCCAACUAAGUCAGACGUGAAAUCCCUCAGCUUAACUGGGGAACUGCGUCUGAUACUGGAUGGCUUGGAUUCGGGAGAGGAAUGCGGAAUUCCAGGUGUAGCGGUGGAAAUGCGUAGAUAUCUGGAGGAACACCGGUGGCGAAGGCGGCAUUCUGGACCGACAUUGACGCUGAGGAGCGAAAGCCAGGGGAGCAAACGGG
rnacentral:rRNA from 1 species